GGGACCGUGGCUUAGCUUGGUUAAAGCGCUCGGCUGAUAACCGAGAGAUCCCGGGAUCGAAGCCCGGCGGUCCCACCA
rnacentral:tRNA from 1 species